GGAUGGGUGCCCGAGUGGUUGAAGGGACCGGUCUCGAAAACCGGCAUACGAGCAAUCGUAUCGUGGGUUCGAAUCCCACCCCAUCCGCCA
rnacentral:tRNA from 3 species